GGGGUUGUGGCUCAGUGGUAGAGCACUUGCCUUGCAAGUGUGAGGGUUUGAUUCUCAGCACCA
rnacentral:tRNA from 1 species